rnacentral:rRNA from 1 species
GACGAACGCUGGCGGCGUGCUUAACACAUGCAAGUCGAACGGUGAAGCUCCAGCUUUCUGGAGUGGAUCAGUGGCGAACGGGUGAGUAACACGUGAGCAACCUGCCCCUGACUCUGGAAUAAGCGCUGGAAACGGCGUCUAAUACUGGAUACGAGAAGGGUCCGCAUGGGCACUUUCUGGAAAGUUCUUCGGUUGGGGAUGGGCUCGCGGCCUAUCAGCUUGUUGGUGAGGUAAUGGCUCACCAAGGCGACGACGGGUAGCCGGCCUGAGAGGGCGACCGGCCACACUGGGACUGAGACAGGGAGCAGACGGCUACGGGAGGCAGCAGUGGGGAAUAUUGCACAAUGGGCGAAAGCCUGAUGCAGCGACGCCGCGUGAGGGAUGACGGCCUUCGGGUUGUAAACCUCUUUCAGCAGGGAAGAAGCGAAAGUGACGGUACCUGCAGAAGAAGCACCGGCUAACUACGUG